GGGGGUGACUGGUCUCGACAUGUUGUGUUCGACGGAAGAAGCAAGCCGAGGUCUCCUCGCCUCGUUAAAUAGGGGUAUCUCCAGUAUAACUGGCGAAAAUAAUUUAGCCUUCGCUGCUUAAUUGACAGCGACGUCAACUCGAGAUGUAUCCCCGCUCUCGAUGCGACGUCAUCUAGGGGAUUGCUGCUGAAGACGUAAGCUGUAUGCUUCGGCAAAAGACUGAACGGCUAUGAUUCACUGAUAAGUGUGUUGUCGGGCGACCGGUGAAUCGAGACUUAGCCGGCGACUGAGCUUGGAGAUGCUUCCUUAGUAUGCAAUGUGGACGUGGGUUCGAUUCCCACCACCUCCACCA
rnacentral:tmRNA from 1 species